UUUCAUGCCAAUCAUACAAUUAUGACCAUGUAUUAAGAUUGUAAAAGAUUACAGUCCUAGGUACUCAUUAUAACUAAAAAAUCCAUAGCAGCAUUUUUAUUAUUCUACUAAUCGAAUGAACUCUUAACUGUCAGUAUGAUUGAAAUGCAGACCUAAGUGAAAUUUCCAGCUGAUUGAAAUCUUCCUAGGUUCAAUAUUUGUAUCUUUUUAGUGGCAAAUAUGAGAAUCGUUCAUUUUCAAUGGUAACCUAAAGCUAAAAAUAUAGUUCUACACAUAAAUUUGGUAUAUGUAAGAAGAGUCUCUUUCAAAAUGCACAUGAAGAACCUAAAAACCAAAAGUUAAUACUUCUGGAAACUAUAGGCUAGUUUCAAUGUAUUUAAA
rnacentral:lncRNA from 1 species